AAGCAAAUCCCAUAAAGUUGUUCUCAGUUCGGAUUGUAGUCUGCAACUCGACUACAUGAAGCUGGAAUCGCUAGUAAUCGUAGAUCAGCAUGCUACGGUGAAUACGUUCCCGGGUCUUGUACACACCGCCCGUCACACCACGAGAGUUUGUAACACCCGAAGCCGGUGGAGUAACCUUUUAGGAGCUAGCCGUCGAAGGUGGGACAAAUGAUUGGGGUGAAGUCGUAACAAGGUAGCCGUAUCGGAAGGUGCGGCUGGAUCACCUCCUUU
rnacentral:rRNA from 1 species